rfam:Sorghum bicolor cultivar BTx623 chromosome 3, whole genome shotgun sequence.
AUAGUCGGAUUCAUAUCAAUCCAUGUGUGUUGAGGUGGAUUGGAGUGAAACUUGAACUAAAUUCUAUCCUAAUUCACACCAAUACACAUAGAUUGAAGUGAAUCUGACA